CCUACGGGAGGCUGCAGUGAGGAAUAUUGGUCAAUGGGCGCGAGCCUGAACCAGCCAAGUCGCGUGAAGGAUGACUGCCCUACGGGUUGUAACCCUCUUUUAUAAAGGAAUAAAGUGCGGCACGUGUCCCUUUUUGUACGUACUUUAUGAAUAAGGAUCGGCUAACUCCGUGCCAGCAGCCGCGGUAAUACGGAGGAUCCGAGCGUUAUCCGGAUUUAUUGGGGUUAAAGGGUGCGUAGGUGGGUUGUAAAGUCAGUUGUGAAAGUUUACGGCUCAACCGUAAAAUUGCAAUUGAUACUGGCAGCCUUGAGUACGGUAGAGGUAGGCGGAAUUCGUGGUGUAGCGGUGAAAUGCAUAGAUAUCACGAAGAACUCCGAUUGCGAAGGCAGCUUACUAGACCGCCACUGACAUUGAUGCUCGAAAGUGUGGGUAUCAAACAGGAUUAGAUACCCGAGUAGUC
rnacentral:rRNA from 1 species